UAACGCGAAGAACCUUACCAGGUCUUGACAUCUUCUGCUAACCUAAGAGAUUAGGCGUUCCCUUCGGGGACGGAAUGACAGGUGGUGCAUGGUUGUCGUCAGCUCGUGUCGUGAGAUGUUGGGUUAAGUCCCGCAACGAGCGCAACCCUUAUUGUCAGUUGCCAGCAUUUAGUUGGGCACUCUGGCGAGACUACCGGUGACAAACCGGAGGAAGGUGGGGAUGACGUCAAAUCAUCAUGCCCCUUAUGACCUGGGCUACACACGUGCUACAAUGGACGGUACAACGAGUCGCGAAACCGCGAGGUCAAGCUAAUCUCUUAAAGCCGUUCUCAGUUCGGAUUGUAGGCUGCAACUCGCCUACAUGAAGUUGGAAUCGCUAGUAAUCGUGGAUCAGC
rnacentral:rRNA from 1 species